rnacentral:lncRNA from 1 species
AAGCAUAAGGUUUGAAAUUGGAUGGAAGUUAGGAGGAAAGAUACGAGGUUAGCAGAAUAUGAAGGAUUGAGUAUUUAGGUGAAGCAAACUGCCAUAACUGCUUAUGAUAUUGCAAAGACGGUGGACUUUUGGGGUGGUUUUGGAAUGAAAUAUUUGUCCGUGUUAGAAAGGAAUAAAGAAAAGUCAAAUAAUGUGAGUAAGCUAAGAUGUGUGGUGGUUGGGGAGGAAAAUAAGAAAUUGAAAAAUGGUGUGGAAAACGACAAAGGAAUUUUAGGAAGUAGGGUGCUUUUUCUGUAGUACGUGACUGGGUUCUUAUGUGUAAAUUUGCCAGUUGCCCCCCCUUCUUUUGUUGUCACCGUAUAACAAGUGUUUGGGGAAAAAAUUAAAAGGAUUGGUGGGAAAAUGAUGGGAUUGAUUUGACUCCUUCCUUCAUAUGGGCACGUGUAUUCACCGUCGCCUUAUUGCAGUUGGGCCACUUUCACUUUUUAUACACUUCAUUGCUUUCUUUUUUAGCCCUCUGCUUUCUCAUUUUCCCUUCAUUCUUUCUAUAAUCUUUAUUAUAUAUUUUCUAUUAAACCUUC